CUGGAGGCAUAUUUACUGCAGAUCAGUUUCCAGGUAACCACAGCUCCCUCGUCCAGGGGGCCUUGAAUCCAGGUAGUAGUUUCCUGAUACACAAGGAGAUGGAGAAGGGGGCCAUGCAUCCUCCCCCAGGAAGUAGGAGACGGAUUACAUCACUGCUGGUAAAAUGAGGGUAACAAUUGCCCUGGGUCAGGGCAAUCUCAGGGCUCCACCCAGCUCCAACCUGCUGGGCCAGGUGUGCCUCAGCCCUCGGGAAUGGACAAAAGGUGAGGCUUCCAAGCAGCACUGGCCAAACACUGGACCUCUAGUGAUGGCCCAGACGGGAGAAGAGAUGGAGACGUAUCACCAUCUAACCGGAGACUCUGGCCAUCUGCUCAUCCUUUCUGCCCCGAGACUGCGGAGCGUCUUGCCCUGGAGAAGGCACCUGUCAAUGAGGGUCGCCAACUUCAGCUCUGGGAGCGGGGCUGCGGUCUGCCGACAGAGCGUGGGCUGUGGUCUCACCCUGCAUGGGUCAGCUGUCCCUCUGGGAACAUACCUCUGAGUCCCACCUCUGGGUCCCUGGUCCCCAUCCUCCUCAUGCUCCCCAGCCAUGGCUCUCGUCCUGUCUCUCUCACCUCAUUCAGAGCCCUUUCCUUCCCAGAGGUGGUUGUUUUUUCAUCUUUGAGAUAAAGGCAGAGUAAGGGCAGAGACAGCCUGGGGUCACAAGGGUGACCACAACAGAGUGGAAUGUCUGUCAUUAAAUGUCUAGAACAGGGUGUAGUUUGAGGAGGAGGAGAGAGAAUCUCACUUCAGGUUUUUCGGUAAGUCUGGUUAUCUCCAAACCACCCAGCCAAGCAGGGCUUCAGUCCCACAAUGGAGUGGUGAUGGGCAAGAGAGGGAAGGCUAGAACUUAGGAUAUUUUUGCUUUACUUUGACGUCACUUGUGUCUUUGUUAGAUGGAGCCUUUAUCUCUGAUCUCACCUCACCUCCUGAGGGUAGUAAGUGUGUCCUGGAGGUCCAGGGGCUGUCCGGAGCAGUGGAAUCAGACCAUUUAGUGUCUGUGUGACCAUAAGCAAGUCACUGAAAGUGUUGGUCUCUCAGUCUUGUCCGACUCCUUGCGACCCCGUGGACUGGGACCUGCCAGGCUCCUUUGUCUAUGGAAUUCUCCAGGCAAGAAUU
ensembl:lncRNA